GUCGUCAAUGGUGACAAGUUAUCUAAAACGGAUUCGAAUUGCUCGACUCACAAAAACGAACAAACAACAAUAACACCUAUAUUAAUAAAUAAACCGAUAAAAACAACAAAAUCCAAGAUUUGCGGUCACUGCAAAUGUCAUACGUCAAAUGCGCACAAUUGUUAUCGUUAAAAAUUAUUUCCGAAUAAGGCUGUUGUCGGAACGGAACGAAACAAACGAGUGAUGAGCGUUCUUCAGAGUCUGAAGAUGAUAAUUUAAAACAAUGUAAUAACUGCGGAGAAAAACCAAAACAAUCGAAUCCGAAGAUUAGAGCUAAGCUAAAAUUAGGUCUACAUUACUGUAAAUUUGGAACAUGUUGAUGUUGUGUACUAUAUGAAACUCAGAAAUAAUUAGUAGGGCUGUUAAUUUUUCAAGAUAAUUCUAAAAUAUUAAGUAGACAGAAAAAAGUUUUACGCAUUUCUUUUUAGAUUUCAUGUUUAAUACGACUACUAAUAUUUAUUAUUUAACUAAGAGAUAUAAUUGUAUUUUGUGUACGUAUAAUUUAAUAAUAAUUAGUCGUUUCGAGA